rnacentral:rRNA from 1 species
AUGGAUAGACGUUGGAUUCAUCGUACAUUGUUUUCUCGUGAGUACAUCGAAGGUGUCAAAGAAUUUAUGAACUUCAUUCAAGAUAAAUUCAGCGAGGAUGAGAAAAUACUCUGCCCAUGUAGAAAUUGCCUUAAUCAUAAACACCAGCAUCAGACCGUUGUGAACACACACAUAUUGACGUAUGGCAUGGAAAGUACAUACACUCGCUGGAUAUAUCAUGGAGAAGACUUUGAUGUUGAUGUGAUUGAAGAACAUGUUCAUGUGCAUGACACUGCCGAUGGUAACAAUGGUGCUGAUCGAUUUGAGGAGAUGUUUGGAGACCUACGCACAACAUUAGAACAAGCUGAAAGUGAAACUGAAAAUCCUUCUGAGCAUGAGUCGUUUGUGAAGAACGUGAUGAAAGAGGCAAAGCAGCAACUUUAUCAUGGUUGUACCAAGUUUUCGAGGUUCUCCUUUGUGGUAAAGCUUCUUCAUUUGAAGUCAUACCAUAGGAUCACAAAUAGUGCAUUUACUGAUAUAUUGAAGAUAUUGGCUGAAGCAUUCCCUGAACCUAAUACACUCCCAAAAUCAUACAAGGAAGCAAAGAACCUUUUGAAGGAAUUAGGCCUUGGGUAUGUUUCUAUACAUGUGUGCUUUAAUAAUUGCAUUUUGUUCAGGAAGCAAUAUGACAAUCAUGACAACUGCCCAGUUUGUGGCCUAUCAAGGUGGAAAGACCCUGCUAGAAAGAAGAUUCCACAGAAAGUGUUGAGGCAUUUUCCAUUGGUGCCUAGGCUGAGGAGGAUGUUUCUUUCCAAAAAAGGAGCAGAAGAAGCACAAUGGCACAAGCUAAAGAGGCAGCCCAGUGAGAAGGAAUUGAGUCAUCCGGUUGAUGGUGAUGCAUGGAAAGAUUUUGAUAAACAAUAUCCAGAUUUUGCAAAAGAUGCCAGAAACAUUAGACUUGGCAUUGCCACUGAUGGGUUCAAUCCUUUUGGAAACUUUAACACAACCUAUAGUAUGUGGCCUGUGUUUGUUAUACCAUACAACCUUCCACCUUGGGCAUGCAUGGACCAGUCAAAUUUCAUGAUGGCGUUGCUAAUUCCAGGUCCUAAAUCACCUGGAAAGCACUUUGAUGUCUUUCUACAACCACUUGUAGAAGAAUUACUUGAGCUCUGGGAGGGUGUGCGUACAUAUGAUGCUCUUAGUGAAAAAAUGUUUGAUCUUCAUGCUGCAGUUCUAUGGUGCAUUCAUGAUUACCCAUCUCUGAGCACUCUUUCAGGGUGUACCACAAGAGGCUAUUUUGCAUGUAUUCAUUGUGACAAACACCCUAUUUCUUAUGGCCUAAGGAAGAAAAUUGGGUAUAUUGGUCACUAUCGUUUCCUUCCAAAGGGACAUCGUUUGCGGAGAAAUAAUGAAUUUGUUGGUCUUCAUGAAAGCAAUGAUCGGCCAGGUAAAUUCUCUGAGAAAGAGCUGCAAGCAGAAUUGGAGAAGGUUAGACCUGGGAGGCAACAAGAAAGUAAGAAAAGGAAACGUUCUGACUUGGGCAGCAAGAAGGCUCAUGUGCCAAUUUGGAGUCGCAGGGUUUGUUUGUGGGAUUUGGAAUAUUGGGGGAAAUUGAAGCUGAGGCACAAUCUUGAUGUCAUGCACAUCGAGAAAAACAUAUGUGAAAACCUCAUUGGGACAAUUUUGAACUUAGAGGGGAAGACAAAGGACACACUCAAUGCUAGGAUUGAUCUCCAAGAUUUGAAUAUUAAAGAGGAGUUGAAAUUGAGGAAGGAAGGAAACUCAUAUGUGAUGCCUCAGGCACGAUAUACCUUGUCCAAAGAACAAGUGGUUGCAUUUUGUCAAUUUUUACGGGAGUUAAAGUUUCCGGAUGGAUUUGCUUCCAACAUAUCAAGAUGUACAAGUGCUGAUGGUACCAAGGUACAAGGCCUAAAAACACAUGAUUGUCACAUUCUUCUGCAAAGAAUCUUACCUGCUGGCAUGAGAGGAUUUUUGGACAGUGAUAUAUAUCAAGCAAUAGCUGACUUAGGCAAGUUUUUCAGGGAACUAUGCAGCAAAACUCUUAAUAGGGAUGUGUUGGCUGAAAUGAAGAAAGAAAUCCCUAUAAUUUUGUGCAAGCUUGAGAAAAAUUUUCCCCCUGCUUUCUUCGAUGUGAUGGUGCACCUUGCAGUACAUUUACCUGAAGAGGCAUUGCUUCGAGGUCCCGUACAAUAUGGGUGGAUGUACCCAGUUGAAAGAAGGCUAUAUACUUUAAAGCGCUAUGUGAGGAAUAGGGCACGACCAGAAGGUUCGAUUGCUGAAGCAUAUGUUGCGGAUGAGUGCCUGACAUUUUGCUCCAAGUACAUGGGUGAUGUUGAAACAAUAUUUAAUCGGAACCCAAGAAAUAUAGGUUUUUCAGAUGAAGAAGCCUAUGGUGUUGAUGUUUUUGGACAUGGAGUUAAUUUUACUUCAGGAUAUGAUUAUGAAUAUGUACAUGCGGAAAAAGAAUUUGAUCAGAUGGUGUGGUAUGUGUUGAACAAUUGUGAUCAAGCAAAGAAAUAUAUCGAAAUAUUCAGAGAUGAGUUAAAGAGAAAAGGGGCGCCGGACAGUGAUAAGGAGCUUCAAAAAAUAUUUCCAACAUGGUUCAAGAACUAUAUGAUAAGGAUGCAGGAUGAGGUUGGUGAAGAGGUAAAUGAAGAUCUCUUUGCCUUGGCAUGUGGUCCUGAUCGGAGAGUCCAGAAAUUCUCAUCAUGCAUAGUGAAUGGGAUUAGAUUUAGCACUAUUGGUCAUGAUAGCAACAAGAGAACGCAAAACAGUGGAGUCAUGACCGAAGGUGAACAUGACCGUAAGCUCAUAAAUUUUUAUGGAACCUUGAAAGAGAUCAUUCAGUUAGACUACAACUUGGAUGACAGGUCAGUUGUUUUGUUUAAAUGUGACUGGUUUAAACUUGAUGGAAAGAAGACCGAGCUUAAAAAUGAUGGUUUUUUCGAAAGCAUAAAUGUUGGAAGUAUGUGGUACAAGGACGAUUCUUUGAUUCUGGCUACGCAGGCUAGAAAGGUCUUUUAUUUGCCAGACACGAAGUAUGGGAAGAAUUGGCAAGUUGUGCAAACAUUUGAACAUAGGCAUCUCUUCAAUAUUGGUGAAACUGAGGGUGUACCUUUUACUGGUCCUGCAUAUCAAGAGGACGAGUGUUGUGAUGAGGAGGGUAGGAGAAUAUCUGUUUCUGACCUUACAUCCGAGAAGCCUUUGCAUAGAGAUGAUGAGCAAGGCAUUGUUUUUGAAGCUGAUGUAGUUGCUCGUUUGAUGAAAGAAAAAAGCACAGAAGUGUAUGAAGGUGGCAAUGAAGAGGAAGAAGAUGAUACGGGUCUGGAGUAUUGCUGCGAAGACGAAGGAGGUGCCAUGGAUGUUGACAGUGAUGAUGAGUAG